CGGGGUGAGAAUUUUAGGUAGCCAUUGAAUACCUUGCCAUACAGAAUGAAAUGGAUUGUAUGGAACAAUUGGAAGAGUGUGAAUAUGUUAGGAAACUAGAUGGCAGGGUUAUUUUACCUAUACAGAGUUGCUGAGAGCUGGAUGCAGCAAAAGCAAAUAAUUGAACUUUGUGUUGGAGAAAUGGAGCCAGUAAAAAUACCAGACACUGAUUCCCGUUGGUGAACAGACCACGUUAAAUUUUUAGAGGCCCCCAAUAUUUAUGCAGAAUGGGAUCCCUGUAGAACCACUUUGUCAAAAUCACAUGAAGUUGGCUUUUGAUCAAUCUCACUGUUGUGUAACAAAUACUUCAUGAUCAAAAGUAUCAAUCACAUAAAUGUUCUAAAGCGAAUACAGAUUCUGUUAACCUCUUCUGAAAAGUUAACCAGACUACAACCUGCAGUCUUUGUGUCAUUAGUCCUCAUUACAAAUCGGGGAUAAGUCUCCAUGAGUUUAGCAGGCUUCUCACUUAAGGCAUAUAACUGUCCGUGAUUGGGUAGGUGACUGAAACAGUGACUGUAGAUAAGUAUUUAUUUGUGUUUUUGGUGGUGAAAUCAAACUGUUGGAGAGUUACAGGCCCCCUCUUUUCUUCCCAGCCCUAUACUGCAUAUAACACCAGUGUUUCACAACAGUAACUGAAGAACCUGAAGAAAGAGACAAUGCAUGUGUUUUUGAAAAUGAGGGGAAAUUAUUUUACUUUAUUUUUAAAAAGGAGUGUGCAACGCCCCCAGUAUUUAAAGAGUCCCCACCCCUAUUACAUCAUUAGAACCAAAACAUAAACCUAUGAAACUAGAAAAGAGCAAAAAAUAUCAAUGUUUGGUCCAGAAUCUAGGUACUACACCCUCAUUAAAGGAGACUGUAUGAAUGAUUCACUAAAUGAUGACGUAUGUAACUAAGCUCAUGGCCUCAAAUUCUCUUUAUCUUAUCUGUUGCUUUAUUACAAAAAUGAUGACUAGACUACUGAUCCUAAACUGAAUAGUUAGUUGCCCAACCACUCCCUCCAGAACCCACUGCUCUCAACUGCCUCGCAUUCAAACUCCCUUUCAAAUCCUCAUCCAAUCAUCACUCACCACCAGAAUCCCACCAUACUCACUCUGUCCCCCUCCCUCCACAUUCCCAUAAUAAUUCUGCUACAAUUACCUUAAUAACCCUAUACAUUCAAUAUUUUAUACACGCUGCUCCCUAUAACCAUACAGUGAUACCUCGAUCUACGAACAGCCCUGUUAAUGAACGAUUCGGACAAAGAACUCCGCAAAACCAGAAGUAGGUGUUCCAGUUAGCGAACUUUGCCCUGGAAGCCAAACGGAAGUCGAAUGGUGGAAGGGCACCGGCAGAGGGAGGCCUCAGUAGGGAAAGUGCACCUCGGUUUAAGAACAGACUGCUGGAAUGGGUUAAGUUUGUAAACCGAGGUACCACUGUACUGUUAGAAGCACUUGAGCUUCUCAUUCCUGGUUCCUAGGAAAUGGGGGUGAGCAAACUGCAGGUUCUCCAUCCUUGUUCUAAAAACCAGGUGUCUUCCUCCAAACAAUCCUGGGAAUUAUAGCUUGUUAAGGGUUCUGGGGCUUGUAGGUCUGUGAGAGGGAAGCCACAAUGGCACGAAUCAUUUCGGGGGAAGUCAUGUGCUUUAAAGGCGCAUUGGAUGCUCUUUAAAACAUUGCAUCAUAGAACUGUAGAGUUGGAAGGGACCCUGAGGGUCAUCUAGUCCAACUCCCUGCAUAUGCAGAAAUCUCAACUAGAUGAUCCAUGGCCAUCCAAGCGCUGCUUAAAAACCUCCAAGGAAGGAGAGUCACUGCUUCAGGUCCUAAGGGCCUCUGGAGCAAGAGAAAACAAGCUUGCUCCAUCCAUGUGACAGCCCUUUAGUUAUUGAAAGGGCUGCAUGGUGUGGAUCUCAUAUCAGUGUUAUGAGAGUGUAAGCAACACAUUUCUCUCCCCGUUCUCCACACCAUGCAGAAUUGCAAUGGUAACCAGAAGGCUGGAGUUUGGAGCCCAACCAGGGCUGGCUGUGGGCAGGAUCCUUGCAUUGCUGGGAGUUGGACUAGAUGACCCUUGGGACCCCUUCCAACUCUGCCAUGCUAUGAUUAUAUCAAGCAGCUAAAGGAAUGAAAAGAUGCUUCUGAAACAUUUGGGAAUCAUAGGAACACACUUCCCACCAGUGGCUUCCUGCAAGAGUUUGCAUCUUCCUUAGGAGAGAGGCAGGCCGGAACAAGGGGGGAAG